rnacentral:misc_RNA from 1 species
CGACAUGUCGAAUGUAGAAUUCCUACAACCAAAUGGAAUAUUUCUAUUUAAUGAAAGAGAAAAAAACAGUUAAAACAAUUAAUUUAUCCGAAGUGCAAAAUUAAGCAUAUAAAAUUUUGAUGGAUCAAGGUAGAAAACUCCAUCCUGAGAUGGAACAAAAGGUUGUUCCAUGAGUUUAAGACUAAUGAUUAUUAUGUCCCUUCAGAAGAAGUGAAUAAUAAUUUUUUCGAUCACGUCUGCUGUAUUUAAG